UAAAAAAUAAUUAUAAAAAUUAUAAGAUAGAUUAGGUCAAUUUAGUUUGGCUAUCUCUGUUCUCUUCUCCUCUCUUUCUUUCUUCUUCUUCUUCUCCGACUUGAGUAUAUCGGCGAUGUAGACGAGAAGCCGGCGAUUAUUAUAGCCAUUCUUGAAGGAGAUCGAGUGCUUUUGACUCCCGUGGCUGAUUCCGACGACAAAGACGAUGGUUCUUCUUAAUUCGAAGCCACGAGAAAAGAGGAAGGCUGAAAGCUUAAGAAGAACAGAGCAAAGAAACGGUGAAGAAGAAGAAGAAGUCACUGGAGCUGUGGUGACUAAAGUUCAAGGACAAAGAGAGACAGGUCAAUAAAAGAGAUUGUGGGCUUAGAGUUGAUGAAGCUUGUGAUGAUGAUACUGUUUAUGUUAGGGAUGAUUGUGAAGGUUUGUUAGUGGUAGAUUGAUAGGUGUUUGUGGUUUUUGUAAAGAAUGAAAUUUGUUAUGUGGUUUUCUAAAUAUUUAAUAUUUAUAUACUUUGUAUUAAUUUUAAUUGGUUCUUUUUAUU